rnacentral:rRNA from 1 species
AUGUGGACGACCUGGUGCUUGUGCUCGUGGUUGCACAUAGUUCUGAUUUCCAUCAACCUCUUCCUCAUAAUCACUCGUGUAAUCGUUAUCCUCCUCGGUAGCAGCAGCAUCCAUAGAAGCAUCAAUAGUAGGUGCACCGGCACCGGAAGUUUGGCCGGGCUCAAGGGGAACGCGCAUUGCUCAUCGCACUUGAUUUGGAAGGCAACGAUGUUGUUGUUGUUGGUGUUGUUGGUGUUGUUGGUGUUGUUGUUGUUGCCGAGGUGCAACAGGUGCAGCCGAUUGAGCUUGUGGAAGACGAGCCAGUAG